AGUGCUGGAUCUCCUACAGCCCAUCAGUCAAGUGAUGGAGUUGUUUACGCAUCCGUCUGCGCAGCGCCGAAAAAUCCCUCCAGAAAAUCUGCAACGUUGCCCAGCCAAGACUCCGUCCUUUACUCGGACAUCAAAAUUGCCUCCAAAAGAAGCUCGGCUCAUUCUCCUCAUUAAGAUGGAAACUUGCUUGAACACAGGAAAACCAGAUCGAGUCCACCUAACCUCAAAGAUCACAAGAAGGUGCAACACAAAAACAGAUUGCUGCCCGUAAUAGGACG